GAAAACAUCCUUGGCAAAUGCUUUCGCAGUAGUUAGUCUUCAAUAAAUCCAAGAAUUUCACCUCUGACAAUUGAAUACUAAUGCCCCCAACUAUCCCUAUUAAUCAUUACGUCAAUCCUAGAAACCAACAAAAUAGGAUCAACGUCCUAUUUCAUUAUUCCAUGCUAAUGUAUUCAAGCGCGAGCCUGCUUUAAACACUCUAAUUUUUUCAAAGUAACAGUCCUGAUUCCCCACCACACCAAAUUAAUGACAUGAUGGUUCGUCAGAAGGUAGGAACCAGUAACACCAGUACGUACCUAAGGCACGACCGACGUACUAAUCCCGAAAUUCAACUACGAGCUUUUUAACUGCAACAACUUUAAUAUACGCUAUUGGAGCUGGAAUUACCGCG
rnacentral:rRNA from 1 species